UACGUAGGUGGCAAGCGUUAUCCGGAAUUACUGGGCGUAAAGCGCACGCAGGCGGUCUUGUAAGUUUGACGUGAAAGCUCCCGGCUUAACUGGGAGAGGUCGUUGAAGACUGCAAGACUUGAGGAAAUGAGAGGGGUGUAGAAUUCCCGGUGUAGUGGUGGAAUGCGUAGAUAUCGGGGGGAAUACCAGUGGCGAAAGCGGCACCCUAGCAUUUUUCUGGCGCUCAUGUGCGAAAGCGUGGGGAGCGAACGGG
rnacentral:rRNA from 1 species